rnacentral:rRNA from 1 species
CCCUUAGAUGUUCUGGGCCGCACGCGCGCUACACUGACGAUGGCAACGAGUUUUUCCUUCGCCGAAAGGUGUGGGUAAUCUUUUGAAACAUCGUCGUGCUGGGGAUAGAUCAUUGCAAUUUUUGAUCUUGAACGAGGAAUUCCUAGUAAGCGCGAGUCAUCAGCUCGCGUUGAUUACGUCCCUGCCCUUUGUACACACCGCCCGUCGCUCCUACCGAUUGAGUGUUCCGGUGAGGCUUCGGGAGAACUGGGUGGAUUGUGUUUCACAAACUGCUCGGUUUGAACUUAGUCAAACCUUAUCACUUAGAGGAAGGAGGAGUCGUAACA